rnacentral:rRNA from 1 species
UACGGAGGGGGCAAGCGUUGUUCGGAAUUAUUGGGCGUAAAGAGUAUGUAGGCGGCUAGAUAAGUCUGACGUGUAAGCCCAUGGCUCAACCAUGGAAUUGCGUUUGAAACUAUUUAGCUUGAGUGCAGGAGAGGAAAGCGGAAUUCCCAGUGUAGCGGUGAAAUGCAUUGAUAUUGGGAAGAACACCAGUGGCGAAGGCGGCUACCUGGUCCGGAUCUGACGCUGAGGCGCGAAAGCGUGGGGAGCAAACAGG